rnacentral:sRNA from 1 species
UUUAUGAGCUUUUCCUACCCCCCUGAAGAAACUUCAUUGGCCUCCUGGUUACUCACCUUGAAGAGAGUACCAUCCAUUUUAGUGAAAAACACAUCUGUCACCUAGGACAUGACGUGGUCGCAGUUGACAGGAAAAAAAAAAAUCUCAUUUAGUUGUUUUAGAGUUGGUGGCAUUCAGAAUAGUCCCUCCUGAGAAAGAAUUGUAACCAGAUUCCCUUUAAAAAUGAGUUCCCCUCCCUUUCCCCCCAAAGGACACAUCCUGAAGCAGAAGGUGGGGGGGGAAGGAGAAAUGUAAAGGCUUUUACUUUGCAUAAGGAUGGGGGACUGGGGAAAAAGGUGAAGCGAAGCCCAAGGACACCAUGCUAAGGGCAAAAGUAGGAGACAAUCUCAGAACUGAGAGAAUUGUGUCUUCUGCUUUUUGAAGUAGACUGUCACACUCAGGCAGCCUGUCAAUGCUGAAUGUUAGGACUUCUGUCUCCACUGGAGACACGGCCUGGUGCAAGUCAGCGUUUAGUGUUUGACAGCUUUCUCAGCACUCCCUGACUCCGUUUACCUUUACUCCGCAUCCCAUUCUCUUACUGCCUAUCUGAAGGAUUGGAUGGGCAGAGUAUAGGUGGCGGUGGUUGGUCCUCCCCGUAUGUUGUCCAUUUAAUUCCAGAGCACUGAUUUUUCCGAAGUGUGCUCUGCCCUGGGAAAAUGGACACAUGUUCCUCACAAUGGGAAUAACUAAUUACUUCUUUUCUUACAGAAAAAGUUGGUGAUUCAAGGAAAGCACAUUGCAAUGCAUUAUAGCAAUCCCAGACCUAAGUUUGAAGAUUGGCUUUGUAACAAGUGCUGCCUUAACAAUUUCAGGAAAAGACUAAAAUGCUUCCGAUGUGGAGCAGACAAGUUUGACUCUGAACAGGAAGUGCCUCCUGGAACCACAGAGUCGGUUCAGUCUGUGGAUUACUACUGUGAUACGAUCAUUCUUCGGAACAUAGCUCCGCACACUGUGGUGGAUUCCAUCAUGACAGCACUGUCUCCUUACGCGUCUUUAGCAGUCAAUAACAUCCGCCUCAUAAAAGACAAACAGACCCAGCAGAACAGAGGCUUCGCAUUUGUGCAGCUGUCUUCUGCAAUGGAUGCUUCUCAGCUGCUUCAGAUAUUACAGAGUCUCCAUCCUCCUUUGAAAAUUGAUGGCAAAACUAUUGGGGUUGAUUUUGCCAAAAGUGCCAGAAAAGACUUGGUCCUCUCGGAUGGUAACCGCGUCAGCGCCUUCUCUGUAGCUAGUACAGCUAUUGCUGCUGCUCAGUGGUCAUCCACCCAGUCUCAAAGUGGUGAAGGAGGCAGUGUUGACUACAGUUAUCUGCAGCCGGGUCAAGAUGGCUAUGCCCAAUAUGCUCAGUAUUCACAGGAUUAUCAGCAGUUU